rnacentral:rRNA from 1 species
AUUGAACGCUAGCGGCAUGCCUUACACAUGCAAGUCGAACGGCAGCACGGGAGCAAUCCUGGUGGCGAGUGGCGAACGGGUGAGUAAUAUAUCGGAACGUGCCCAGUCGUGGGGGAUAACGUAGAGAAAUUUACACUAAUACCGCAUACGAUCUACGGAUGAAAGCGGGGGAUCGCAAGACCUCGCGCGAUUGGAGCGGCUGAUAUCAGAUUAGGUUGUCGGUGAGGUAAAAGCUCACCAAGCCGACGAUCUGUAGCUGGUUUGAGAGAACGACCAGCCACACUGGGACUGAGACACGGCCCAGACUCCUACGGGAGGCAGCAGUGGGGAAUUUUGGACAAUGGGCGAAAGCCUGAUCCAGCAAUGCCGCGUGCAGGACGAAGGCCUUCGGGUUGUAAACUGCUUUUGUACGGAACGAAACAGUCUUUUCUAAUACAGGAGGCUAAUGACGGUACCGUAAGAAUAAGCACCGGCUAACUACGUGCCAGCCGCCGCGGUAA